AUUGAACGAUGGCGGCAGGCCUAACACAUGCAAGUCGAGCGGAGCGGCGGACGGGUGAGUAAUGCCUAGGAAUCUGCCUGGUAGUGGGGGAUACCGUCCGGAAACGGGCGCUAAUACCGCAUACUAUCAGAUGAGCCUAGGUCGGAUUAGCUAGUUGGUGGGGUAAAGGCCUACCAAGGCGACGAUCCGUAACUGGCAUGAGAGGAUAAUCAGUCACACUGGACUUAGAACAGGGUCCAGACUACUACGAGAAGCAGCAGUGGGGAAUAGUGGACAAGGGGCGAAAGCCUGAUCGAGCCAUGCCGCGUGUGUUAAGAAGGUCUUCGGAUUGUAAAACACUUUAAGUUGGGAGGCGUUACCAGCAGAAGAAGCACCAGCUAACUUCGUGCCAGCAGACGCGGUAAUUC
rnacentral:rRNA from 1 species